rnacentral:rRNA from 1 species
UCGGGGACGCUAAGACAGGUGGUGCAUGGCUGUCGUCAGCUCGUGUCGUGAGAUGUUGGGUUAAGUCCCGCAACGAGCGCAACCCUUAUUAUUAGUUGCCAGCAUUAAGUUGGGCACUCUAAUGAGACUGCCGGUGACAAACCGGAGGAAGGUGGGGAUGACGUCAAGUCAUCAUGCCCCUUAUGACCUGGGCUACACACGUGCUACAAUGGGCAGUACAACGAGAAGCGAGCCUGCGAAGGCAAGCGAAUCUCUGAAAGCUGUUCUCAGUUCGGACUGCAGUCUGCAACUCGACUGCACGAAGCUGGAAUCGCUAGUAAUCGCGGAUCAGAACGCCGCGGUGAAUACGUUCCC